rnacentral:rRNA from 1 species
AUGCGGGGGGAAAGAGCCUCCUGUUUGUUCUACAGCUGUCCUAUAUUUUUGACCCCCCUCUGCGCCUGUGGAGAAGUUCCUGUACGGGGGAAAACACACCCCCCCCGGAAGUGGGCCGAUAUAAAUUCGAGAAAAAAGGAGCCUCCGCAGUACUGCGGCAACGAAUUCGAAAGGAAGUUGAUGGUUGAAAGAUCUUCGAAGAGGUAUGCACACCUGAGUAUCCAGGGGCGUUUGUGCCUCAAAUAUUCGAUGAUUUUUGAAGGUGCGGUUUCUUUAGUGUCUUAUUUCGCUGCGUUCUUCCUCGAUGCAAGGACCAAGACAUCCGUGGUGGAAGUUUUAGUCAAGCGAGUUGUUGAUUGUACUCUGCCAUUAGUGAAUGAACCUUCGACGUUUUAUGUUGGGGGGGGUUCCCCCCCAAGCAACAAAAUGUUACGAUUCUCUUCUGGAUGGGGGAAAUUCAGAACCAAGUCGGGGAAAACGCAGUCAAAAUUAAAUUCAUCAAUUUCCCGAGGAAUGCUCAUUAUGAAGAUUUUCGGACUUCAGCUCGACUCUCCACAAAUAGUGAACGUACCUCUGUUGCUUUGGCGGCUCCGGCCGCCAAAGACCUCCAAACUCAUUCAUUCAACGCAGACGUCUGAUAAACAAGUUAAUAAACUAAAACUUUCAACAACGGAUCUCUUGGUUUCUGGCAUCGAUGAAGAACGCAGCGACAUCCGACAAGUCACGCGAAAUUGCAGAAAUUCAGUGAAUCAUCGAAUCUUUGAACGCACAUUGCGCCCUUGGUAUUCCGGGGGGGCAUGCCUGUUUCGAGCGUCAUUACACCCUCAUGCUCUGCUUGGGAAAUUGGGGCACCGUCCUCCUGGCGGAACGCGCCUCAAAGACCUCGGCGGUGGCUGUUUCAGCCCUCAGCGAAUGCAGAAAUACACCCUCGCUCUUGUAAGUGAUUGGGCGUCGCCCCGCCGCACCGAACUCCUGAACCUUUUCUCACGUGAACUUCGAUCAGUAGGAUACCGACGAACUAGCAAUCAGCACGCGGCGAGGAGAGAUAAGUAG